rnacentral:lncRNA from 1 species
GGGCAGGAGCGGGAGGGAGGCCUUCCAAACCCGGAGGGGACUCGGCCCACAGGGACGACUGGAGUGAGGUUUACACCAGAGGGGCAACAGGGGCCGAGGGGUCCCUUCCUAAGGAGACCACUUGAGGGCUGCUGAACGCCGGAGCCUUACAACUGUUAAACUCAGGCAGAGCUCGGGAAAUGCUGCCCGGAUGGGUGACUGAUGGAGAGGGGCUACCACUCUUCCAGCUAAACUCCGCUCUGGUUGGGACCCAGCAAUUAUUUUCCAUAGCGAAGUGUUAAUAAAAUAUCUGUUACUCCCAACACAACCUCCUGGGGGAAGGGACCUGUCUGUCUGCUUCAACUUUGGAUCCUCAGUGCCCACAUCAGGAUACCUGGCCUGAGAGGUGGAGUUUCGCCAUGUUGCUCAGGCUGGUCUCGAACUGGGCUCAAGCGAUCUGCCCGCCUCGGCCUCCCAAAGUGUGGGGAUUACAGGCGUGAGCCACCACACCUCGUUGACCUAAGAGAGGGUCCUGCCGGUAUUACCCUGGAGGAAGGAAUGCUGCACAGAGGCCGAGAGGAAUUUGAACAGACUGGCCUUGCUGGGUUUUUAUCUCUUUUUGUCCAAUCCCAUUUUGACACAGUUGUCCAUGCUCCAAUCAUGCUUAUCCAAUGAAGUUUCCAUAACAGGCCUGAGAGGACAGGGUUCAGGAGCUUCCGGACAGCUGAGCAGGUGGAGGUUCCUGGAGGGUGGUGUGCCAGGGAGGGUGUGGAAGCUCUGCCCCUUCCCCCAUACCUUGUCCUAUGCAUUCCUUUAUCUGCAUCCUUCAUUUUAUUUUAUUUUUUUUUGAGACGGAGUCUUGCUCUUGUCGUCCAGGCUGGAAUGCAGUGGUGCGCGAUCUUGGCGCACUGCAACCUCCGCCUCCCGAGUUCAAGAGAUUCUCUUGCCUGAGCCUCCCGAGUAGCUGGGAUUACAGGCACCCGCCACCAUCCCUGGCUAAUUUUUGUAUUUUUAGUAGAGAUGGGGUUUCACCAUGUUGGCCAGGUUAGUCUUGAACUCCUGACCUCAGGUGAUCCACCCACCUCAGCCUCCCAAAGUGCUGAGAUUACAGGCGUGAGCCACAGUGCCCGGCCUGUAUCCUUUAUAAUAUCUUUUAUAAACAACCAAUCAGUAAAUGUGUUACUCUGACUUCUGUGAGCUGCUCUAGCAAAUUAAUCAAAUCCACAGAAGGGUCAUGGGAACCCCAACUUGAAGCCUGUCCGUCAGAAGUUCCAGAGUCCUGGACUUGUGACUGGUGUCUGAAGUGGGCAAGUCUUGGGGACUGAGCCCCUAGCCUGUGGGAUCUGAUGCUAUCUCCACAUAGAUAGCAAUGGAAUUGAAUUGGCGGGCACCUGGCUGGUGUCUGCUGCAGAGCUCAUUGUUUGCUUAGUGGUGGAGAGAAGUCUCCCUCCACAUGUGGUCACAGCAUCUUCUGUCUGUGUUGAUUGCUUUUGAUGUUGAUCGAGAGAACAGGAAAAAGCACAUUGAAUGUCUCAAUGAUGAAGAUGACAAUAAUCUGGCUUCUAGGUUGUUAUGCGGCAGGCAACAGCUGUGCAGAUCCUAAUAAUCUACUCUGGGUGACAGUUUAACACAGGGGUUGGCAAAUGUGGCCCACUUCCUAUUUUUAUAAAUAAAGUUUUAUUGAAACAUG